UAGGUGUGGAGCUUCCCGACCGGCUG
rnacentral:piRNA from 1 species